rnacentral:lncRNA from 1 species
GUUUUGCAAAAUCUGUAAACAUAUUUGACGCAUAAAAAUUGAAAACGUUUUUUCUGCUCACAGUCUAGUUCAAAUUCAGUUUCGCAUGAGAGUAAAAUGUAACAGAAAUCUUCAUCAUCUAAGGAACCAAGAAAGGCACUGAAAGUUAUUGGGUUUAAGCAUAGUAGCUCGCACCAGAAUUCAUCUCGAAUGUCGGAUAAAUAAUCACACGAAGAAAUUGCGUGAAUACACGGGUCGGUGAAAAGUUUACCACAUUUAUC